GGGUGAUGCUAUGAUGAUACAUGACAAUCCCAGCUCAUUAUGAGACCUUUAAUUUGAAGGUCAGGGAAAAUACUCCAUCUCACAUCUAUCUGAGCUUUACCC